GAUGAACGCUGGCGGCGUGCCUAAUACAUGCAAGUCGAGCGAACAGAUGAGGAGCUUGCUCCUCUGACGUUAGCGGCGGACGGGUGAGUAACACGUGGAUAACCUACCUAUAAGACUGGGAUAACUUCGGGAAACCGGAGCUAAUACCGGAUAAUAUAUUGAACCGCAUGGUUCAAUAGUGAAAGACGGUUUUGCUGUCACUUAUAGAUGGAUCCGCGCCGCAUUAGCUAGUUGGUAAGGUAACGGCUUACCAAGGCAACGAUGCGUAGCCGACCUGAGAGGGGGAUCGGCCACACUGGAACUGAGACACGGUCCAGACUCCUACGGGAGGCAGCAGUAGGGAAUCUUCCGCAAUGGGCGAAAGCCUGACGGAGCAACGCCGCGUGAGUGAGGAAGGUCUUCGGAUCGUAAAACUCUGUUAUUAGGGAAGAACAAAUGUGUAAGUAACUAUGCACGUCUGGACGGUACCUAAUCAGAAAGCCACGGCUAACUACGU
rnacentral:rRNA from 1 species